rnacentral:rRNA from 1 species
GACAGAGGAUGCAAGCGUUAUCCGGAAUGAUUGGGCGUAAAGCGUCUGUAGGUGGCUUUUCAAGUCCGCCGUCAAAUCCCAGGGCUCAACCCUGGACAGGCGGUGGAAACUACCAAGCUGGAGUACGGUAGGGGCAGAGGGAAUUUCCGGUGGAGCGGUGAAAUGCGCAGAUAUCGGGAGGAACACCAGCGGCGAAGGCGGCACUCUGGGCUGGUACUGACGCUGAGGAGCGAAAGCGUGGGUAGCAAACAGG